rnacentral:sRNA from 1 species
GUCAACUACCCACCAAUAAAUUGGCAGGCUUGUAAAAGCCUAAGUUGACUAGCCUAAGUGCUUUGAGCACUACGUUAAGAGAGAAUACAUAGUUACCCGUGGAUGUAACACCUAGUCUACGGCUCUA